GAUGAACGCUGGCGGCGUGCCUAAUACAUGCAAGUCGAGCGAACGGACGAGAAGCUUGCUUUUCUGAUGUUAGCGGCGGACGGGUGAGUAACACGUGGAUAACCUACCUAUAAGACUGGGAUAACUUCGGGAAACCGGAGCUAAUACCGGAUAAUAUUUUGAACCGCAUGGUUCAAAAGUGAAAGACGGUCUUGCUGUCACUUAUAGAUGGAUCCGCGCUGCAUUAGCUAGUUGGUAAGGUAACGGCUUACCAAGGCAACGAUGCAUAGCCGACCGGAGAGGGUGAUCGGCCACACUGGCACUGAGACACGGUCCAGACUCCUACGGGAGGCAGCAGUAGGGAAUCUUCCGCAAUGGGCGAAAGCCUGACGGAGCAACGCCGCGUGAGUGAUGACGGUCUUCGGAUCGUAAAACUCUGUUAUUAGGGAAGAACAUAUGUGUAAGUAACUGUGCACAUCUUGACGGUACCUAAUCAGAAAGCCACGGCUAACUACGUG
rnacentral:rRNA from 1 species